UGUUUUCUUUUCAGAUCACAUAAAUCUUUUGUCUUUUACUAAAGACUUCCAUGGAGAGGAACAAUUUA
ensembl:snRNA U5 U5 spliceosomal RNA